CCUACGGGAGGCAUCAGUGGGGAAUAUUGCACAAUGGGGGAAACCCUGAUGCAGCAACGCCGCGUGAGCGAUGAAGGCCUUCGGGUCGUAAAGCUCUGUCCAAAGGGAAGAAUACUGACGGUGCCUUAGGAGGAAGCCCCGGCUAACUACGUGCCAGCCGCCUCGGUAAUACGUAGGGGGCUAGCGUUAACCGGAAUCACUGGGCGUAAAGGGUGCGUAGGCGGCCCUUCAAGUCAGAGGGGAAAGGCUACGGCGCAACCAUAAUAAACCUUUAAAACUGUAGGGCUUGGGGGCAGGAGAGGUCAGUGAAAUUACCAGUGUAGCGGGGAAAUGCGUAGAUGUUGGGAGGAACCCCAGUUGCGAAGACGGCUCGCUGGACUGGAACUGACGCCGGGGUACGAAACUGUGGGGAGCGAACAGGAUUAGAUACCCGAGUAGGC
rnacentral:rRNA from 1 species